rnacentral:rRNA from 1 species
AAAGCUGAGGAAAAGAAACCAACAGGGAUUGCCUUAGUAACGGCGAGUGAAGCGGCAAAAGCUCAAAUUUGAAAUCUGGCACCUUCGGUGUCCGAGUUGUAAUUUGAAGAAGGUAACUUUGGAGUUGGCUCUUGUCUAUGUUCCUUGGAACAGGACGUCACAGAGGGUGAGAAUCCCGUGCGAUGAGAUGCCCAAUUCUAUGUAAAGUGCUUUCGAAGAGUCGAGUUGUUUGGGAAUGCAGCUCUAAGUGGGUGGUAAAUUCCAUCUAAAGCUAAAUAUUGGCGAGAGACCGAUAGCGAACAAGUACAGUGAUGGAAAGAUGAAAAGAACUUUGAAAAGAGAGUGAAAAAGUACGUGAAAUUGUUGAAAGGGAAGGGCUUGAGAUCAGACUUGGUAUUUUGCGAUCCUUUCCUUCUUGGUUGGGUUCCUCGCAGCUUACUGGGCCAGCAUCGGUUUGGAUGGUAGGAUAAUGACUAAGGAAUGUGGCUCUACUUCGGUGGAGUGUUAUAGCCUUGGUUGAUACUGCCUGUCUAGACCGAGGACUGCGUCUUGACUAGGA